rnacentral:rRNA from 1 species
GAAUGCUGACAUAAGUAACGAUAAAGCGGGUGAAAAGCCCGCUCGCCGGAAGACCAAGGGUUCCUGUCCAACGUUAAUCGGGGCAGGGUGAGUCGACCCCUAAGGCGAGGCCGAAAGGCGUAGUCGAUGGGAAACAGGUUAAUAUUCCUGUACUUGGUGUUACUGCGAAGGGGGGACGGAGAAGGCUAUGUUAGCCGGGCGACGGUUGUCCCGGUUUAAGCAUGUAGGCUGGUUAUCCAGGCAAAUCCGGAUAAUCAAGGCUGAGGUGUGAUGACGAGGCACUACGGUGCUGAAGUAACAAAUGCCCUGCUUCCAGGAAAGCCUCUAAGCAUCAGGUAACAUCAAAUCGUACCCCAAACCGACACAGGUGGUCAGGUAGAGAAUACCAAGGCGCUUGAGAGAACUCGGGUGAAGGAACUAGGCAAAAUGGUGCCGUAACUUCGGGAGAAGGCACGCUGGUGUGUAGGUGAAGUCCCUGCGGAUGGAGCUGAGACCAGUCGAAGAUACCAGCUGGCUGCAACUGUUUAUUAAAAACACAGCACUGUGCAAACACGAAAGUGGACGUAUACGGUGUGACGCCUGCCCG